rnacentral:sRNA from 2 species
AUGUGCCGCGCAUACUCGCCGGUUCCUGCGCGCUGGCCACGCCUACCCGACAACUGCUCGCCACGUGUUGUCGGCC